GACGAACGCUGGCGGCGUGCCUAAUACAUGCAAGUAGAACGCUGAAGGAGGAGCUUGCUCUUCUGGAUGAGUUGCGAACGGGUGAGUAACGCGUAGGUAACCUGCCUGGUAGCGGGGGAUAACUAUUGGAAACGAUAGCUAAUACCGCAUAAGAGUAGAUGUUGCAUGACAUUUGCUUAAAAGGUGCAAUUGCAUCACUACCAGAUGGACCUGCGUUGUAUUAGCUAGUUGGUGGGGUAACGGCUCACCAAGGCGACGAUACAUAGCCGACCUGAGAGGGUGAUCGGCCACACUGGGACUGAGACACGGCCCAGACUCCUACGGGAGGCAGCAGUAGGGAAUCUUCGGCAAUGGACGGAAGUCUGACCGAGCAACGCCGCGGGAGUGAAGAAGGUUUUCGGAUCGUAAAGCUCGGUUGUAAGAGAAGAACGAGUGUGAGAGUGGAAAGUUCACACUGUGACGGUAUCUUACCAGAAAGGGACGGCUAACUACGUG
rnacentral:rRNA from 1 species